CAGUCGCCGCGGUAAUACGAAGGGGGCUAGCGUCGCUCGGAAUGACUGGGCGUAAAGGGCGCGUAGGCGGAUUGUUUAGUUAGGCGUGAAAUUCCUGGGCUUAACCUGGGGACUGUGCUUAAUACAGGCAGUCUAGAGUGAGGAAGAGGGUUGUGGAAUUCCCAGUGUAGAGGUGAAAUUCGUAGAUAUUGGGAAGAACACCGGUGGCGAAGGCGGCAACCUGGUCCUUGACUGACGCUGAGGCGCGAAAGCGUGGGGAGCAAACAGGAUUAGAUACCCCAGUAGUCCUUGUCUCUUAUAC
rnacentral:rRNA from 1 species